rnacentral:rRNA from 1 species
UCAGAUUAGCUAGUUGGUGGGGUAAAGGCUCACCAAGGCGACGAUCUGUAGCGGGUCUGAGAGGAUGAUCCGCCACACUGGGACUGAGACACGGCCCAGACUCCUACGGGAGGCAGCAGUGGGGAAUUUUGGACAAUGGGCGCAAGCCUGAUCCAGCCAUGCCGCGUGCGGGACGAAGGCCUUCGGGUUGUAAACCGCUUUCAGCCGGAAAGAAAUCGCUGUUUCUAAUACCUUUGGUGGAUGACGGUACCGGAAGAAGAAGCACCGGCUAACUACGUGCCAGCAGCCGCGGUAAUACGUAGGGUGCGAGCGUUAAUCGGAAUUACUGGGCGUAAAGCGUGCGCAGGCGGUUUUGUAAGCCAGACGUGAAAUCCCCGGGCUUAACCUGGGAACU